UAAGAACUUGCACGUUGAAGAGGAUGUCGAUGGUGUCGACGGCGGCGACAACGACGACGGCGGUGGAAGUGUCGGCUACAACAACAGCAGCAGUGGUGGUGUCGGUAGCGGCGGCAGCGGCAUCGUUACAAGCGACGGUGGUGGUGGCGACGGCGGCUUCGGCUUCGUCUACGGCGGCGGCGGCGGCGGCUUCGUCUUCGGCGGCGGCGGCGGCGUGCUGCCUGUAGUAUAUACUACUAGUGUGUUGUAUAUGUGAAAGCUUUAUUAUACUGUGUAUAGCGAUCAUCGUCUAAAACCGCCACCAACAGCCGACCGGACUCAUAUUGCCAAGAUGAAGUGUACCGUUGAGUUUACUUGUUGGAUUUUGUACUACCUGACAAUUUUACAGGCCUUACUUCUUACUUUUGCACAUGCAGGUAAAUUGAUUAACUUUUCGAAACAAAAAAAA
rnacentral:lncRNA from 1 species